CUCUGUUUGUCUGAGAGAGUCUUGUUGGAGAUUCCAGGUGAGUUCAGGAGGUGAUUGUGGACAGGGAGUGAAAGCUGAGCAGGUUACAGUGACAGACUGAUGCUCCUUCAGGUCAGAGGGAACAUUAAUGCUGGGACUUCCAGGGGUUUCUGGGAUUUCACAUCAGACACAGUAGAAAGUAAAACAUAC